GACGAACGCUGGCGGCGUGCUUAACACAUGCAAGUCGAACGAUGAAGCCGGAGCUUGCUCCGGUGGAUUAGUGGCGAACGGGUGAGUAACACGUGAGCAAUCUGCCCUUGACUCUGGGAUAACUGCGGGAAACUGUAGCUAAUACCGGAUACGACACCUUGGGGCAUCCCAGGGUGUGGAAAGAAUUUCGGUCAAGGAUGAGCUCGCGGCCUAUCAGCUAGUUGGUGAGGUAAUGGCUCACCAAGGCGACGACGGGUAGCCGGCCUGAGAGGGUGACCGGCCACACUGGAACUGAGACACGGUCCAGACUCCUACGGGAGGCAGCAGUGGGGAAUAUUGCACAAUGGGCGAAAGCCUGAUGCAGCAACGCCGCGUGAGGGAUGAAGGCCUUCGGGUUGUGAACCUCUUUUAGCAGGGAAGAAGCGAAAGUGACGGUACCUGCAGAAAAAGCACCGGCUAACUACGUGCCAGCCGCCGCAGUAACAC
rnacentral:rRNA from 1 species